AGGAAGUGCCAUUCCCCCACAGCCAGAUUGUUUCCGCUCAUCCAGUAGUGUUGUUGGCUCCUUAACUGGAAUUUUAUCGCCUAACAUCAGACUUCUACCAGAUCCGUGUCCAAUCCAUCUCCAUGCUCUCAUGUCUGUCAACACCCAGGAUCGGAGGAUAGCUGGAGUCAUUGCCUCCCUCCAUCGAGCUGUCAGCACUUCAUCACUUGCUGCCCAGCCUCAGCCACAUCAGACUGUAGCCUCUACUUCCUCAACUCUGCCAGUUCUGCUACAUUCAUCUACGCCUCCACAAUCCAGCCUCUGUUCCUAGUUCUACUCGGUUCAGUGUGUUUAAGAUAAAUCCCCCUUUCACAGCCUCUAACCCCAGUCUAUGGUUCUGCAUUUGGGUCCUGUUACAAAGCUUUGGUACAAACCAUUACACACACACGUAACAACUGAAGUGUAUGUGUGCAGAAUGCAACACACCUCUGAAUGCAAACAUACAAAUCAGUAAGAGUAGUGUUUCAAAAGCAUCCCCAAAUUUCAUUCAGUAAAGCAUUGAAGCAGGGAUUGGUAGGCUAACAGCUGAUCUGCAGUCCUCUCCACUUCCCAUGGAAUUACUUUCAUUUCAAGAAUGAGCUUUUUUCUCCUUCUGUGAAAAGUACAUACAAGGCGUCAUACAAGAGGUCUCGAAUCUUUUAGUUUCCCGUUUUGGUUAAUGAUGCUGUUUCCUUUUUAUAACCUGAGGAUUGGCACUGCAAUUGCACAGGACAUGCUGUACUAACCACAAUGUUCCCGAUUUCUGACACCAUAAUUGAGCAUUUUAGAUGUCCAUCAGUGUUCCACACAAUAGUCUCCUUCUCUAAAUGAAACGAUUCACCCUAUCUUCAGUCUGUGCUCGUCUUAUGUAAGCCCUUUCAGUCCGUCUUUACAAGACUUAAUACUCUUAACAGGUGUGCCUGAAGUUUAGCUCUAACCAGUGAAACAGUGUGCAACAUAAAAUACUCUGAAAAUGAAGCCCACAGUGGACAAAAAACAUGAGCUUAAAUACAAAAAGUAAAAGGAUAUUGACCAAGCUGAUGUCAGGUCUCUCUUCUCUUUCACUGAUUUUUCUUGAAAACAAAAUCCCACUGAUUGAUAAAAAGUGAAACACUGUCAUUGUAAACGACACUUUAAAAAGGGCUUUUAGUUUGAAGGCUGGGUUUGCUGCUGAUGUGCUGGGUAACAGCUGACAAGGAUAAACAAAUGGCACAAUGAAUGAAUGAAUGAGGGUAGAGAAGGCACUACAGAGAAGGUCCAGUUUAGCGUGCCACUUGGAUAUGGGAAUAAGAUAUCGUUUUUAUUGUCUUGGUUUGGUUUGGUGGUGUUUAAUGCUGUGCUGGUGUUUUGUGGUGAUACUUUAUUCCUGUUCAAUGUCAAAAGGUGUAAUCGUGGUAGUCACUCACAGCUGGCUUUCCUAGCCCUUUAGAUUGGCCUCAAUUUGUGUUUGCUUUGUUUUGAGUGUUUUGUCUUAAACUGCCUUC